rnacentral:rRNA from 1 species
GGCGUCGAGCGGCGGACGGGUGAGUAAUGCCUAGGAAAUUGCCCUGAUGUGGGGGAUAACCAUUGGAAACGAUGGCUAAUACCGCAUGAUGCCUACGGGCCAAAGAGGGGGACCUUCGGGCCUCUCGCGUCAGGAUAUGCCUAGGUGGGAUUAGCUAGUUGGUGAGGUAAGGGCUCACCAAGGCGACGAUCCCUAGCUGGUCUGAGAGGAUGAUCAGCCACACUGGAACUGAGACACGGUCCAGACUCCUACGGGAGGCAGCAGUGGGGAAUAUUGCACAAUGGGCGCAAGCCUGAUGCAGCCAUGCCGCGUGUGUGAAGAAGGCCUUCGGGUUGUAAAGCACUUUCAGUCGUGAGGAAGGCGGUGUAGUUAAUAGCUGCAUCGUUUGACGUUAGCGACAGAAGAAGCACCGGCUAACUCCGUGCCAGCAGCCGCGGUAAUACGGUGCAUUAUUUGACGUUAGCGACAGAAGAAGCACCGGCUAACUCCGUGCCAGCAGCCGCGGUAAUACGGAGGGUGCGAGCGUUAAUCGGAAUUACUGGGCGUAAAGCGCAUGCAGGUGGUUUGUUAAGUCAGAUGUGAAAGCCCGGGGCUCAACCUCGGAAUUGCAUUUGAAACUGGCAGACUAGAGUACUGUAGAGGGGGGUAGAAUUUCAGGUGUAGCGGUGAAAUGCGUAGAGAUCUGAAGGAAUACCGGUGGCGAAGGCGGCCCCCUGGACAGAUACUGACACUCAGAUGCGAAAGCGUGGGGAGCAAACAGGAUUAGAUACCCUGGUAGUCCACGCCGUAAACGAUGUCUACUUGGAGGUUGUGGCCUUGAGCCGUGGCUUUCGGAGCUAACGCGUUAAGUAGACCGCCUGGGGAGUACGGUCGCAAGAUUAAAACUCAAAUGAAUUGACGGGGGCCCGCACAAGCGGUGGAGCAUGUGGUUUAAUUCGAUGCAACGCGAAGAACCUUACCUACUCUUGACAUCCAGAGAACUUUCCAGAGAUGGAUUGGUGCCUUCGGGAACUCUGAGACAGGUGCUGCAUGGCUGUCGUCAGCUCGUGUUGUGAAAUGUUGGGUUAAGUCCCGCAACGAGCGCAACCCUUAUCCUUGUUUGCCAGCGAG